AUUGAACGCUGGCGGCAUGCCUUACACAUGCAAGUCGAACGGCAGCACGGGUGCUUGCCCCUGGUGGCGAGUGGCGAACGGGUGAGUAAUACAUCGGAACAUGUCCUGUAGUGGGGGAUAGCCCGGCGAAAGCCGGAUUAAUACCGCAUACGAUCUACGGAUGACAGCUGGGGACCUUCGGGCCUCGCGCUUUAGGGUUGGCCGAUGGCUGAUUAGCUAGUUGGUGGGGUAAAGGCCUACCAAGGCGACGAUCAGUAGCUGGUCUGAGAGGACGACCAGCCACACUGGAACUGAGACACGGCCCAGACUCCUACGGGAGGCAGCAGUGGGGAAUUUUGGACAAUGGGCGAAAGCCUGAUCGAGCAAUGCCGCGUGUGUGAAGAAGGCCUUCGGGUUGUAAAGCACUUUUGUCCGGAAAGAAAUACUUGGCCCUAAUACGGUCGGGGGAUGACGGUACCGGAAGAGUAAGCACCGGCUAACUACGUG
rnacentral:rRNA from 1 species